ACAGCGUGUUUCAUUAAACACAUUCAUCAUUGAAUGUGUUUCUUCAGGUACCCAUAGUCAUGAAAUCAUAGUGAACCUAACAGUGGUCAUUUAUGUGUUCUUGGUAGUAACCAGGUCAGUGAUAAAUUGGGUCUUACCACACUACAGACCACCUGUUCUUCAGAUUUUUAGGUAAGCAAGUAUGGUCCCUCUAACACAGUGUUACUGUGUUUGUCUUUUUCAGGCUUCCCAAAAGUUGUUUGAUAGUAUACAGGCAUGAGAUGGUGUGACUCUAACUCAUUAGAUGCCUUCGUCUUUUCAGUCAUCAUGUGAUGGAAAGAAAGCUAUCAACUUCAUUCCUGAGACUUCCUGCAACACAGAUCCAUCUAAACUUUUACUUCAUUGGAGGGUCCUUCCUGACCCAUGCAACUCAACAAAAAACUCUCACAGUUUUUAUAUGCUUUGUUGGGGAUUAACCCAUCUUGCAUUGCAUUGCUAGCUUAGUAUGUCUAGCAUGGGCAUGCCUGCUGAAGUUUGGAACUUCCCAUCAAGGAAACAGGAAAAUGCCAUUGGCAAUGAGCUGAAGACUGAUUUACUCUACCAGUUUGGAACAUCUGUUAUUGCUGCUACUACGGUUUCUAUCACUGUUUGAUGCUGGGACUCUUAAGCUCCAACCACGUUUUCACCGAGCUGAGUCGCCUUCUUAUCACCCCUUUCUGGAGCAGCAGGACAUCUGGGGAUGAGAAGAUGGAGAGAUCAUCCUUAUAUAAUGUUGCAGUCUGGAAGCAUCACUCUCAAAAAGCCAUUGUAGAGAAUCCAAGCCGAGUUUAAGAGUGCUGUGGAAAUACACUGCUGCUACUGCUGUUUCUAUUACUGUUUGAUGCUGGGACUCUUAUGCUCCAACCACGUUUUCACCCAGCUGAGUCGCCUUCGUAUCACGCCUUUCCAGUUUUGAUAGACUAGAAAAAUGACAAGACUCCAAGUCCUUGAAGAGGAGGAAAAGUGUGAAGAAAACAAAAAAGGGAGAUUUAUGUCUGCUUCACCAUUUUGCCCAAGACUUGACCUGUCAUACACUGAAGCUCAGAGAGGAAGAAAGGACCGUGUGAGAGAAGAAGGGAACAGCCUUUCAUCCAUAGGAGAAGUUCGUCUAUGACAAAGCCACUAGCUCCAUGUGGCCGCUGAGCACUCAAAAUGUGGCCAGUCUGAAUUGAGAUAUGUUGUUAGUAUAAAGUCCACAUCGGCUUUUUGAGCACUUUGUAUGAGAAAAAAGAAUACCAAAUAUCUCCUUAAUAAUUGUUACAUUGAUUAUAUGUUGAACUGAUAACAUUAUGGAUAUAUUGGAUUAAAUAAAAUAAAUUAUUAAAAUCAAAUAAAAAAUAAAA
ensembl:lncRNA LINC01203 long intergenic non-protein coding RNA 1203